UUUUUUAAAGAAGGAAGUGGACCUUUAGAUAAGGAGACUUAUUAGCCAGAUGCAACCUGUAAACUUUAUUGGGAUCAUCAGUCUUAACAAUUGUGCAGUUUUUAAAAAUCUGGUAGAUAUGAACAUUGAUUGGCAAUUUGGCAGGGUUACUGUUUAAAACUUUUAGCUGUGAAAAGGCUGUUGGGGUUAGGCAUUGAAAAGGAAAAGAGUCUUAGAAAUGAUGUCUGAGAUUUGCUGGAAAAAUACCCAGCGUGGCAGGCAAGGGGACGCAGGAAUGGUAAGGGAUACCCGAGAGAGCGUUGUACUGUUAUACUCUCUUUAGUGGUGUUGAAAAGGACCAUAAUCAAGGGGUUUUAUUUCAUUGUGUUUCAGAAAGUUUCUGAGAUAGGAAGCAGCUCAGGAAGAGUUUCUCUGAAACGUAAGCCUCACACGGCACAAGCGAGCCUCCUUGGGGCCUUCUCCUGUCAAGAAUGAGCACCGCAAUGAGGGUGCGGCUGUGUCCCAGUGCCCACAGGUCCUUCAAAAGCCGGACAGAAUUCUGACCGUGAAGGCGGAGGCAGAGGACCAUGCUGCCAUGUAAUCAGCCUCCCAGUCAAAAGCUGGCCUGUCCCCGCUUCAGAGAGUUCUAAGACCAGGAGGCUCGGGACCCUACAAGGUUCUGAAAUGCCCCUGGGAGCUCUGCUGCCAGUGGCUGAGGGCACAGGGACAGUCUGCACGUUGCCCAUCCUGAAGCUGCUGGAGCUGGAGCAGCUCCUGGCCAUCCUGCCCGGAGGCAGUCAGGCUGGGGCUGGGAGUGCGCUGCUGGGCAAUGGAGGAGUGAUGGAGGCCUGCCGGAGGGCGGGAGUGAGAAAAAGAACCAAGCCCGCGGAUAGAAGAGGGAUCUAACGUGUGAAGAAGAUAGGGAGGGAAACUAUAAUAUGUAUUCUUUUGUCACGACAAAAGAAUCUCUUGGGACAACAAAUCCAAAGUUUGAAAAAAUUCUCCAUCUCAGCAGACGCCUUGACCUCAUGAUCCUCCUCAGAGGCCUGAGCUAGAAGCACCCCGCUCAGCUAGAAGCCAGUGGGGAGAGAUGGUGACCUCAGGAGUAGGGACGAGGUGCUCAGCUCAGAUCAGGAACUUGUGGAAAGAAGAUCCCACGGGUGACUCUUCACAGGUACCAGAGCUGGGAGACACCUCAGAAUGUUCCAGAACCUUAGACCAGCAUUAGGGAACCUCCAGACAGGAGGCCAAGGAGCUGCCCUGCCCAAGAGAAGAGUUUCAAGCAGGAGAGGGAAGAAGAAGCCACGAAGGUGACAGAAGUGACCAGAACUCCGGGCCAGACUUAAAGGAAGCUCUUUGAGGAAGAACCACGUCCUGUCCUUGGUAUUCUCCAUGGCACCUCUGAGCACAACGGGACUUUGGAGACCAGGUGUGGCUGCGGUCACUGUGGUCCAAGCGGAUGGACUUGUGGUUCAGCGCAGUCGUGGGUGGAGAUGCACUGUGACUGAAGACGUAUGUGGCCUGCCUUCUCAGGGAUAGUUGUCGCGCUUUUCCAGGUCACGCAGGAGGAAGGUGAUCUUGUCCUUGUUGCCACCCCUUGCCCCUGACACCCGCCCACGCCAGGCAGGCCAGCCAGAUUCUCCCUGCUGCCAGCCGCGCAUGGCGCCAAUCCCAGGAGUGACUUCGGGGAGGGGGAGGCAGGGAGCAAGCAAGCGAUCGGUACUGUCGCGCACCUGUCCAUGCAGUGUCCUGGUUAAGUCUGGAUGGCGUAGGGAUCACCCUCAGCGUGAACCCGCAGCUCUUCGAGGGCGCGGCCCAUGUCUGAAACAUCUCUGUAUCCGCGGUACGUGGCGUAGCCCCCGGCACGUAGAAGGCUGUCACAUGGCGUGGAGCAGGGGAGUGCCCCUGUAGUUAGGGGCAGCCAGGGAGUUCAUGGAGGGACUGAGGAAAACAGAUGUUAGUGACUGUCCUCCAGUGCCCCCCUGGGCCUCCCACCCCCCAGUGAGUGCGUCCUCCCUUUGGUAUCUGGCGAAGUCCUGGGUCCUAAACACAGAAUGCAAACGGUGCCCCUUUGUGUUUUGUAAGCUGCAGAAUCCCUGUCUCCCCCCACCCCGCCCCCCGGGGAAAAGGGAACAAGUCCUGUGUAUACAUCCGGGUUUUAUAGAGCUGCGGAGCUGUCUGCGGCUUUCGUUUAAAGCUAGUGAGUUAAAAAUGUUCUUGGCCAGAUCACAGGAGCUGGUCCCGAGGGCCGGUGCUGCCCAUAGACCCUCAUCUUCUAGGAGCCCAGGGCUGCUUCCAAACAGCUGAACCUUGAAGCUGGUGGAGAUGUGAGCAGGUCAUCGAGGGUUAAAGAGAGAGAGGAAGGGAGGGCCCUUGCCAGCUGCCUCUUUGUCUGCUUACCAGGGCCCUUGGAGCUCUCCAACUGUCUCUGGGCAGGAGCACAACUGGCCCCCAGGUAUCCCUGCUCUGGUUUGGAUGUCUGUAGCUGGAGUGUCAUUUAUGGUGGGUCUCCAGAAUGCUCUCUCACAUUAUUCCCUCCUGACCAUCCGGAGACCGGACUGAGCAGAAAUCAGUGCAAACAGGUAGAGGAGGUCGAAACAGAUAAUUGAGUGAAGGCUGGGGGAGGGGCAGGGCGCUGGAGGGGCAGGUGACUCUCAGCCCAGGCUUCACGCGCAGCACCCCCCAGAACCCUCCAACGGCCCUGGAAGUAGCGUGGUCCUGUCCUCGUGUUCAGAUGAAGAAACUGAGGUUUAGAGAGGUUAAACAACUUGCGCAAGGGCGGGCAGCGGGUGAGGGGGGAGCAGGGCUCCACAUCCAGGUCUGCCCAUCACCCGGGCUUUAAAGCGCCGCUUCUCCCCUUGUUGGAAUUUAACUUGCGUCGCCAGAACCCCCAGUUCGCACUGCGUCUCGGUCCUUUAGCCACUUUGAAAUGGUCCUGCUUCCACAGUCCCUUCUGAGGCCCGUCAGAGCCGCUCAGUGGUUUCUGAGAGACCAGGUCGAAUGGCUGCUCGACCUCCCGACCUCCCGGGGUCACAAGUGACCUUCCCUGCUCUCCCAGCAGUCGCUGGAAUUUCUGCUGUGGGAAGUUGGGGAGAGUGUGCGAGAAUCUGAUCUCCGCCCUCUGUUCCGUGAGUCAGGUCAUCGGGCAGAGCAAGGCGGGAACAGUUUCUUUCUGCUCCACUGCGUCUGGGCCUUGACCCGAGAGGCCCACAUGGUUGGAUUUGGCUACGGUGGUCUGACUGUGGCUGUAGCGCGGGGGCCUUGGUUCCGUCUGCCAGCGGGAUCCUUCCCCUCCUCUUCACGUGGCAUCCACAGAAAUGUGGCAGAAAUGUCCAAAAUGGCUUUUUCACUCGUGCGUCUGGUGCUUCCGUGUUCUCUCUACGGCCUUCAUUAAAGGAGCCUUGUCUUCUUACAUUGUUUCUCUGGGCUCCACAAAGCCACUGUCCGUCCUCUUCCUUGUGCCACGGUACCUGUCUGCCCCGAGCCCUGUCUGUGGGGAGCUGCCACAGUUCGGCCCCUGCUGUAUCAUGUGACCUUGCCCAUUGGACCAGGAUCCAGUGGAGGCCGGCCAGUGACUUUUGGAGUCACCUGGCCAGCUCAAAAAUAUAAGGAAAGUCAGACUAGUUGGAUUCCCCUUUGGGGAAAUACGAACCCAAAAAAUAAGACUGUAUCAGCACAGUGUAUGUGUGUGACAGGAUAGUGUGAGGCCAAGUAGGGCCUGGAUGGACUGAUGUGCUGGCCUGAAUGAGACUGAAGAAGGAACUUGGAGAUAGAAGAAAAACAAGCCAUGACAUGGGGGGAACACAGAGUGCAGGGAGGAACCAUGAGCCUGUUGUUGGCGAGGGGAGAAAGAAAGGGACAGCCAGAGCAGAGCUGGGACCCGUAAAAGGCCGGGGCAGAGCCAGUCCCUGAGGCGCCCUAGUGUCCCAUGGCCCCUGGACCUGCCUGGCCCAUGUGAGUCACUGCAGCAAGCUCCUUCCUUAUUCCCUUGGCUGUCAGUUGGCUUAGAGGGGGCCAAUAAAAAUUAGGAGUAAAUGGGCUGGAGGAACCUCUGGGAAGAAUUUUGCUUUUUGAUUAAAGGAAGGAUGGUGAAGAGGCCUGGCCCUUCUUCCUGCUUUGGACACGGAUGUUUGCGGUCAUGACACUUAGAGCUGUAGCAGCCAUCUUGGGACCAUGAGGCAAGGGAAGAAGCCAACAUACCAAAGUUGGCCUAGCAGACGGACAAAAAGAGCCUGGGUCCUGGAUGACAUCGUUGAGCCACUAUACCUAUCCUGGAACCACCUACUUCCAGUCUUACGGAUACAUUAAUUGAAUGUCUUUAUUUUCUAAGCAGAUUUCUGCUAUUUGAAGCCUGAGACAUUCUUAGCCAGUAUAGCACUGCUCUGAGCCUGUCUGUCAUCAGCUCCUUAGAGCCCCAAUGGCUUUUGGUUUAGAUCCAAAUGGGAAAUCGCCGCAAAUGUAGACAGUGGAAAUCUUCACUUACAUGGCAGGAAAUACAAGUCAAGAUUUCUCACAGCCUCCAGAGCAAUUCCAGCACUUAGUCCCCCAACUCCCAGGGCCUGUUGGAUGCAAAUGAGGAAAGACAGAUUCAGGAAAGUUCUAGAUAUAUGAGCAUGAAUCUUCUAAAAUGGGGCUCAGUGAUGAAUUUGGGGACACAGAGUGCUGUGGGGAGAGUGGGGGAGAGCCUAAGCAUGGGCCAGAAAGCCAUGGAAAGCACAUGGAAGGAGCAGCAAGCUGGAAUGGACAGAUGGCAGGUGGGUCGGAUCACUUCUGCGGGAGGCCAGGGUCCACAGCAGGAUUUCAGAAGUGCCAAGUACUGGCUGGGAGGAGUUUACAGCAACUGAAACUAAACUGGUGGAAAACGAGGCCUUUUUGUUAACCCCGCAGCCAGACUUCCUGACAAUUUAGAUCCUCUUAGGAACAGGGCCUGAAUUGUGGCCAUUGCCUGCAUGCGGGCACUCCCACGUUCUUCAUUCUUUGUCUCUUCUCCACCUUUCCCUCUCCCUCUCCCGCCACCAUUUCUUCCUGUCUUCUCAGCAAAGCCAGGAGCCAGAAAUGCACAAGCUCUGAAUCUCUUCUACCUCAGCUGGAAAGUAAAGCUAGCAGGAGGCAAGGAUGUCUUAUGGAAGCUUCGAAUCCUAGUAUGGGGAUCAUCCUGGUUCUCUUGGGAGGCAGGAAAGCCGUCCGUUGAUAAGGACUAGAUUAAGCUUUCUUCUGCCCCAACUUUGACCAAGCAGUGGGGACGGAAGUGCUCCUUCAACACCAGACAAAAUGUGGGGUCCUCCCUUCCCUCAUGAAAUGAGACCUUGAACUUGGGAACUCUGGGCCGCCUUCUUUUGAUUUCUAGUUUCAGGUUCACAACAAAGAUAAACUGGCGUCCUCCUCAUGCAUCCUAGCAGUAUUUCAUUGCAUUCGGAGCUUGAGAACAAGUCACCCACCCAUUUCCCAUCCCCACAUCAUCAGUAGCAGAGACAUGUGACCCACAGAAGUUCAUCAAAUGAAUGGGGCCCAAGCACAGAUGAGUUUUCAGCAGACUCUGCCACUAAGCCUCAUCACCCGUCUGAGCGCAGCCCUUAUGCACCCUGCAUAUCUGAGGAGUCCUGCCCCCAAAGGCCAAACCCCAGGCCAACCCCGACGUUUGCCCGCUGUGUUACUUCACUCACUCAGUAGUUCAGAAGACCUAGUAGAAUUACAAGCUAAGCUUAUAAAAGCAAUGAUGCUAUUGGGAAGGUCAGUCAUUAAAGACAUACACACACAAUUCCUGACUUCAUCAGAGAAAAGAGUGAAAGUUUUGGGAGGGAGGAAGCAAAAAGGGUAACCUCCUACUUUGAUGUGAUUAAUGCUUCACAGUGAUGCUUAAUACACCCCGAAUUCCCCCAACCCCCCAGUUGGCCCAUACCCCACGAAGGUUUCUCUGAAAUCCGGUAAGGAAAAGAACUCGAAGGCUUCUCCUCCUCCUUGGUAAAGUCAAGGUUUUUUUCUCCAGGAUGAAUUAGCCUGAUUACGGAUUAAACGGUCUCCCGCAGUCCGUACAACGCAAGAUAGUCUUUCCCGUGAACUUGCCAAUGAUGAGAAAGGGCUACACUGUCCCCACAUGAUUUUGCACAUCGAUUAGGCUCACAGGCUUCUCUCGAGGAUGACUGCUUUCAGGUUCAGGCCGCUGCACGCUUCCCCUAGACAGUUCUCUGUAUUCGUUACAUAUGACCAGCACAAGUCCCAACUAAAUUAGCUGACAUCAUCUGAGUCUGGAACUUGGAUUGUAGGUUCUUCCUCAUCCAUUAUGCUUGCAGAGCUCCUCCCUGCCCUGAAAUCCCAGAUGUCCGAGUAGCUGUCUAAAAGCAUUUUCACAUCCAUUACGUGCAUGUGGUUUUUCUCCAGUGUGAAUUCUCUGACGUUGAAUGAGCUCUGCUUUCCUGAAAGCCCCCACAUUUAUUGCAUUUGUAGAGUUCCCGUGGCUUGUGAAAGUGCUAGAAUGCUGGCGGAGGCCUCCACAGAUCAGGCUUUCUCUAAGGUGAAUGUUUCAGUGUUCAGUAGGAUGGGAGCCCCAGCGAAAGUCAGCUGUAUUCGUAAUGGGGUCUCUCUCAAUAUGAAUACUGUAGUCCUGAAUAAAUUCUGACUUCUAAGGUUUGGGCACAUUUAUUUUGGGGUCUUAUCACUUCUAAAAGAUACAGAAUUGCAAAUUAUCCCCAUCUUCAUCCCAUUCGUGGAGUGGGGUCCCUGAUGUUCUCUGGGAUGUCUCCCUAGUCAGAUCUCUCUCCACGCUUGGGGGCCAGUUCACCCCCUCCCAUAGGGACCUCCUCGCUGCGUUCACCUGUGAGUCUACUGCUGCAGAAAGUUCCUCUUGGGGCCCACUUGCUCUGGGUCCCAGCCUCACAAUAUAAAAUCCUAGCAAAUGUAAAUCCCAGCCACUCUCUCUCAAAGAACCAGAACAUGUCUUGGGCGGAGAAUAUAAAAUUGGGGGAGAAGACUUAAAGAGGCAGAGUGCCUUUGAGUGAAUCUAGAAAAUGAUGGGUAUGACAGAUGGCUGGUUACUUAUAUUCUCUCUCUCUCUCUUUUUUUUUUUAACCAACCCUCUUGUGGUCAUACUGAGAAUGUACGCAUUAAAAAUACCUUCUCUGGUGACCAGGAGAAAGCACAUGGGGUCUUGCAGGGAGGCUGUUGCCACUCUGUUCCUUGAUCUGGAUGCUGGUCAAAUGAAUGUGUUCACUUUGUGAAGAUCCCUAAGUGGGAUGCUUGGGAUUUAUGUGCUUUCUAGGCGGCAGAGUUAAAAAUGAGUAAGUUCCCCGUACUGCCGCCGUGCAGCCAGCAAAUGAGAUGUAAGCAGAACUGGGCCUCCACGAGAACUCCUUAAAGUGGGGGACUCCGAAGCAGAAACCUUUCGCCUUUUCCCUCCUGCCCCCCUUCCUCUCGUGGAUCCGGGAGGUGACGCCUGAAGGCGCAGCAGCCAUCCUGGGAGUGUGUGAAGGAGCGCCACGUGCAAAAGCUGGCUGAGCCAGCCUAAGGAAGGUGCCCCUUCCCUGCGGCCUUGAACUUCUCACCUCUGGCAUUUUCACUUUGUUUAGUCUAGGCAAUGAGAAGUGACUCAUGGUUAGGUUAGGCAUCUUUCCCCGUGUUCAUUGCCUCUUUUUAAUUUUGUAAACCUUUCUCUUUGAUCCUUUUGGAAAAGUUCUGUGCUCAUUGAAGGUAUUGUCCCUUUGCGUGUCAGAUGCCUUGCGGGUAUCCUUUCAAAUUUGUCAUUUGUCUCUUGAGUUUGUGGGGGUUUUUUUAACUCAAACAAAUUACCCCAUUUUUAUUGUAUGGCGUCUGAAUUGCAUAUUUAUACUUUUCCCACUCAGAGUUGUUAAAACGUUAAUGUUUUCUGCUCGUUGUUUUAUGUUAAAAUCUUGGAUCCGCAUGGAAUUUACCUUGAGGUGAGGCCUGGGGGUGAAGGUCCGGCUCUUCCCUUCCCCCAUCAGCUCUCAGCACUGUCUGGGGUAUAUCUCCCUUUCCCCAGCCACUGUGAAAUGCCACCGUGAUUAGGGGUUCAGUUCCCAUGAAUUUCUGUUUCAUGUCUGUACUUUGUCUGAUAUACAAUUAUUUUAAUUCUUUUUAUAAGUUGUUUUCCUGUCUGAUAAGUCUGCUGCCUCAUUGUUCUUUUCUGAAACACUCACGUGACACUAAGGUGAAUAAGUGGGGGGUGGCGGUAGUCACUCAGAGAUUGCCAUGAUGUUAGACGGUACAGAGCCUCCUGUAUACAGAGAACAUUCUAACAAUAUUCUUACUUUGAGCAGUCUCCCUUUUUCCUCUGCAGUGUAUUCUUGGAGCCAUUUGGUAAGGAAGAGUCAUAUUUUCUCGUAAUAAUUACUCAUAUCCAGAAACUCAGCAUCAAACAAGUUGUGCUUCUGACACAUACGUCAUAAAAACAAAACCAUAAAACUCAGCAUGGUCUUUAGUAAUAUAAAAGGGCACCAUGAUGCUUCGAGUCCUGUGGCGUGGGCAUAUGGGGACUCAGGAUGAUAACGUCACUGGCCUCCGGGUGCUGUGAAGUCUACACAAAGCACAGGCCAUUCUGCCAUUCUGUCUGUCCCGUCUAAAAAUAGCCCUAUCUGUGUCAAAAGGACAAAUAGUGCACUCAUAAACAUGCUUCCCUUCGUGGAAUUCAAGAGAUUCAUGAGGAAAUGAUGUGUAAGAUACAAGUUUCUUUUUAAGGCAAACUUGCCGGAGAAGAUGAAACUGAUUCUGUUUCUCCUGAUAAAUUUCCCUGAAACAAACAGCAGCGUUCAGAAGAAUCCCAUUCCCCUUCCUGCUGUGUAGGGUUUUUAGGGUUUUCCUAGAAAUGGCUAUGACGGUAUUUAAAGGCCUCAUUAGGACAUUAGUUUUGAGCACAAGUAUUAAGAGAAAUAACCUCUCGAUUCAUGCCUUUGAUUUUUUUUCUUUGCUGCAAAAUGCUUCAUAUUGGUGUAAUGAACAGAACGAAAUGUUUGGGAAAAUAUGGGUCCAGGAAAGACUAAUUCCUCCAGUAAGUCAGCAUUUGUGGGGAAUGAGUAUGAUGUAAGUGUAAAAUAAAAAAGAACGAAAGAAAGAAACCAUAUUGGCUGCACCUAGUGACUUCCUUCCAAAGCGUACAGCUUGGGAUGGGGGGUGAAAAGUAGCUGCUUUACAUGGGAGAAGCCCGACAAUCCCUGUCCCAGCCAGGCGAUGAAGGUAAACAUCAACAGUGAUCAGGCUUGUUGAUGGUACAUACCCUUGUUAUGAUGUGAUGACGGUGGCC